GAUGAAGAACGCAGCGAAAUGCGAUAAGUAAUGUGAAUUGCAGAAUUCAGUGAAUCAUCGAAUCUUUGAACGCACAUUGCGCCCGCCAGUAUUCUGGCGGGCAUGCCUGUUCGAGCGUCAUUUCAACCAUCAAGUCCCCGGCUUGUGUUGGGGACCUGCGGCUGCCGCAGGCCCUGAAAUGCAGUGGCGGGCUCGCUGUCACUCCGAGCGUAGUAGUUACAUCUCGCUCUGGGCGUGCUGCGGGUUCCGGCCGUUAAAAGCCUUAUUUACCCAAGGUUGACCUCGGAUCAGGUAGGAAGACCCGCUGAACUUAAGCAUAUCAAUAAGCGGAGGA
rnacentral:misc_RNA from 1 species